GGGGGACUGGCGCAAGGGUAGCGCGUCAGCUUCCAGAAAUGGAACCUUCUGAAGGUUGUAGGUUCGAAUCCUGCGUCCCUCA
rfam:Drechmeria coniospora strain ARSEF 6962 chromosome 01, whole genome shotgun sequence.